rnacentral:rRNA from 1 species
AUUGAACGCUGGCGGCAGGCCUAACACAUGCAAGUCGAGCGGAUGAAGGGAGCUUGCUCCUGGAUUCAGCUGCGGACGGGUGAGUAAUGCCUAGGAAUCUGCCUGGUAGUGGGGGAUAACGUCCGGAAACGGGCGCUAAUACCGCAUACGUCCUGAGGGAGAAAGUGGGGGAUCUUCGGACCUCACGCUAUCAGAUGAGCCUAGGUCGGAUUAGCUAGUUGGUGGGGUAAAGGCCUACCAAGGCGACGAUCCGUAACUGGUCUGAGAGGAUGAUCAGUCACACUGGAACUGAGACACGGUCCCGACUCCUACGGGAGGCAGCAGUGGGGAAUAUUGGACAAUGGGCGAAAGCCUGAUCCAGCCCUGCCGCGUGUGUGAAGAAGGUCUUCGGAUUGUAAAGCACUUUAAGUUGGGAGGAAGGGCAGUAAGUUAAUACCUUGCUGUUUUGACGUUACCAACAGAAUAAGCACCGGCUAACUUCGUG